AGCUGGUGACAGUUUCUGGAGGAAGUCUAACCUGUAUUCUUUGACAUCAAGACACAUGGACAUGAUGCCAGGCUGCAUGACUGUCAGUAAUACUUAGGCUGAAUCAAGAUGGCAAAAACAUUUCAGAGACAGAACUAAGAUAUACUUCUCUAGAAAACCUACAGCAUAAGUUGGACUGUGAAGCGGAUGAGAGGACCACUGGUGUAAACGGUACUCACUAGAUGCUGCAGUGAUGCU